CCCUAGCCACAGGGCUAUUCUGCCUCCAAGUCCCUUCCCCUUAUUUUGUGUUGGGGGGGAGGGGUAUCAAAGCUGAUUUCUUGGAUACCUUCUGCCCCCUGCUGGAAACAUGAAAUUUGGCAAGGAACUUCCAGAGUCAGAACCAGCUAGCGGAAGAAGCUGACCCUCUGGUUCCACCUACUGGCCCCUAAAAAAGGCGGGACUUCCCUAAGUUCAAUGCCGGAGGGAAGCACGGCCAGGGUUACUCUGCCCAUGGUGCCCAGCUCCUCCCAGUGGAAAUACACCGGCACGAAGACGGCGAUGAGGAUGACCACCAUGAGGGGGAUGACCAGGAGGGCUCGCAUCCGGGGCUGCAAACCUGGAGAAACAGUCCUGAGUGGGGCCACUGGCAGAUGCUCCCACUCCUUGUCCAAAGCAGCUGCAUCCUCUAGCAUCUGGACCUUGUGAUGUCAGAGCUUUCAAGCAGAAGCAUUGUGGCCAUGGGAGAUUCCAGUUGGGAGGAUCAGCCCCAGUGAGCCAACUUCCCACCUGGCACUCAGCAGCUGUGUGGUGUAGGGAAAGCCCGCCCGCCCGCCCGCCUGUUUCUCACACUCC